rnacentral:rRNA from 1 species
UACGGAGGGAGCUAGCGUUGUUCGGAAUUACUGGGCGUAAAGCGCACGUAGGCGGCUUUGUAAGUUAGAGGUGAAAGCCCGGGGCUCAACCCCGGAAUUGCCUUUAAGACUGCAUCGCUUGAAUCCAGGAGAGGUGAGUGGAAUUCCGAGUGUAGAGGUGAAAUUCGUAGAUAUUCGGGAAGAACACCAGUGGCGAAGGGCGGCUCACU